GCCGGGUGAUUACUCAACCAAGCGUUGCAAGAAUCACGGCCAGGUGCGUUGCAGAUCCCUCGCGCAAGGAGUGGCUGGAGGGAUCUUGACAAUAGCAAGGAUUGUCUGGUUUCACUGACCAGACUGGCGAGCUAAAAUAAGCAGGAUCCAGAAACACAAGACUUAUCUGGGAACAUUCUUCCGAACUAAUUGGAGGAUCAGCUCAAGUCCCCAUUGAAGGAAGUGGAUUAUUUUGGGUUUUUUUCAUCAUCAACAAAGACUGGUGGACGUCCUUGGUAUAAGGAACUUUAACUUGUUUUUUCCUUUAAACUAUGGACUAAUGUGUAUAUAUAUUGUAAAUACUAAAUACAACUCACCAAUUUGCACCAUC